rnacentral:misc_RNA from 1 species
UUUCCGUAGGUGAACCAGCGGAGGGAUCAUUACCGAGUUUACAACCCCCAAACCCAAUGUGAACCAUACCAAACUGUUGCCUCGGCGGGGUCACGCCCCGGGUGCGUCGCAGCCCCGGAACCAGGCGCCCGCCGGAGGGACCAACCAAACUCUUUCUGUAGUCCCCUCGCGGACGUUAUUUUUACAGCUCUGAGCAAAAAUUCAAAAUGAAUCAAAACUUUCAACAACGGAUCUCUUGGUUCUC